ACUGUGGUGGUGUAAUGGUUAGCAUUUUUUGCCUAGCAAGCACGAAGAUCCGGGUUCGAGUCCCGGUCACAGCA